AGACCUGGAGAGCAGAAGACCUGGGCCGGGAGCGGGGCUUUGCCAGGGUCCAUUGUACUCACGCUGGGGGGCUAGAGACCUUCUUUUACUGGUUCUGCUUAUCAGCCAAACUUCACCUAACCUUUGGACUUGUUAAGCCAGUGCCUUGCAGCCUAGGCGCGGGGCUUUUCCACCGGUUCUCAGUUCCGCUUUAGUCCAGAGAGAAGACACUACGCUUCGGGGUUCAGGUGAGAGCCAGAGGAAGCUGGGGUGCUCGUGGAAGAAGGGGACGCAGGAGGAAGCGAAGAGUAGAGACCCUGGAUGCGUCCCGGCCGACGCAGGUGGUGGGCCAGGAGAGCCCGCAGGGCGGAAGAGAAACUGACCACUUAGGAAGGGGCGCCGAGGCCACGGGGGAGGUGAGGCAGCGUUAGGUGUGGUGAGCAUGCCCUGGAGGGACUCCAUUUAUUUCUACCUCGGUUACUACCUCCAGGCCCCAGAACCUCCCUGGCCUGGUCUGGCGGUUUGGGUUUGCAGAACUGCCCGCCAGAGAGCGUAGGCGAGGGUGAAGGAGUCCGGGAGAACUCUUGGAAAGAGACUACUUUAUGGGUAGAGGGAGUAGCCAAAGUGAAGCUCCCCCAGCAGCUGGGCUGCACCGGCGCCCAGCCUGGCCACGCCACUGGGGAGCUGGACCCCUGGGGCUCCUCACUCUCCUGUUUAAACCCGGAUGUCAAGGCGCCUCCGCCUUGGGGGAGGAUGGUGAGGCAGAAUGGUGAGGCACUAGGAUGGUGAGGCACUAGGAUGGUGAGGCACUAGGAUGGUGAGGCAGUGAAAGCAAAGCUUGACCUGCAGCUGGGUGGACACUUGCAGCCGAGGGUCCCCCCGGCCCACUCAUUUCUGGUUUAUUCGUAGUUCCAGAACAUCUGUGGUUCCCUGGGCCGGGGACGAGCUCUGUAGACGAGGUCACUGCAGCAGUGGCAGAAGUCUUGCACUCCUAGUACAGAAGGUGUCGACAGAGCUACUGAGGGAAAGAUGUUUUUUUUCCCACUCUGGCCUGGGCCAGGUAGGAAGCCAUAGGCCUUGCAGCACUAUUGGAGUUUCACCUGCUUCCCCCCUGGUGACGGGCAGGAGGGGAGGGCGGCGGAAGCGCGCCCAAACCGGCAAGCUAGGACCUGACCUGUAGAAGAACAGGGAAAGGGGCUUCUUUGCUUCCACCACACACAGACCUAAAGCUUCUGGGGAGGAGCAUAACGCUUCCCUUCUGGGAGCCUCAGUUUCCUCAUCUGCAAAAAGAGGAUACCACUGAUAACCUUUUUUUGGGGGUUGUGUAUAUUGACUGAGGCCACUUGUGCAACCGCUUGGUCUAAUAAUAAAGUUCAACACUUUCUGGUCUGAGAAGACGGGAAGCCAGUUCCCAGUAGUAAAACUGAGUUACUCUGGAAACUUAGGGUAUUCAGAAUUGGUGAUACAGUGCUGGGGUUGGAGGGAUUGGGGGACUAGGGUUUCAGAAUCAGCAGAAAAAUUGCAAAGGAGUUUCUAAGCACAUUUUCCUUCCUCUCCCACCCUUGAAAGAUAUCUAGGAGGAAGUAAGGUUAGGUUAGGGAUAGAGAGGAAUUUCAGCAGGAGGAGGAAGAGUCUAGCAGCUCUCAUCUGCCUAGGGGCAGGAUCUAAUCUCCUAGGUGUGCAAGGGCUGAUGGUGUAAUUUAUCAAGUCAGGCUGUUAAGGAGCUAGGAUGCCUCUUAAAUACAGGGUCUGCUACAGGUGCCUGGGCCACUUGUGCUGAGAGCCAGAAGGAAGCGGGAUGGUUGUGUGCGUGUAGCCUGAGGAAAGUUUACACUGAUCUCAGUCCCUCUUUCCCGGAGACAAGCAAAUCCCAAAUUCAGGAACCUCUCCAUCCUUCAGCCUCCAGACACCCAUUACUCCUCAGGGUGCCACAGGGAGUCAUAACUUCAUGAAAAUGUUGGCUUUUCAUUUCACCUUCUUUCCCUCUAGUUUGUUGUAAUAGGUGCAAAUCUUUGCUUCUCAUAAUUCUGCCCAAUGGAAGAACAUUCUCUGCCUACCCAGCUUGCCUCAAGAAGGAUAAUGAAGUGUUCAGAGUAAAUGUCCCUGAAGAACAAUCUCUUCGUCUGUCUCUCACUCGCUAUCAGGAUAGAAGCAUCAAGUGUAAUGAAGAUCAGUUUCUGUGUUAAGCUGGGAAAACCCAUUUAAAAAACAGCAAUCACUUCUGUUGUAACAACAAAACUUUGAUUGGCAGUUGCAGCUGCUGUGUGCCCCAUCUGAUUCCCAAGCCUCAUUCUCUCUCAAAAUUCAGGUGUCAGCAAACCCAUUCUUCCCCACACCCCAGCUAACUAUGUGAAUGUGCAGGCAAUUUCACACAGAGGAUAGGACAAACUUCCUAUGAGUGUCCAGGUAUGUUUUCCAGGUAAUCUGGCUAUUCAUAUCUAGCAACUUCCUGUAAUGCUCCUUCCUAGUCCUACCUUGUAAUAUGCCACUUUGUGCAAUAUAAGCGCUUAUCAAGUAAUUGUUCUGUACUAUAGAUCUUCAAACAGAUUCACCAGUCCCUUCAUAUGGAAGUUUAAAAAGAGCUGUGUAAAGUAGACCAGCAGAUAGUCUUUCAGAAUGCAGUUCAUAAUGUUAAGUGAGCUAUCUUGUAAAACUCUUCAGUUAAACUUCCCCCAAAUAGAGGAAGACGGAGUAGGAUUGAAAUAACACAGAACUUUUGAGCAGGGUUUUAGGAUGAAAGAGGAGGGUCUCUAGCUGUCAUUGUUUUGAGGGAUGAGAAGUUGAAAGAGGGAUUCUGUGGGGGAGAGGUGGAGGAUACCCAGCAGAGAAUAGAGGGCAGGGUUUGGAGUAGUCAAACAGAACUAAACUUGAACCCAAGAUCUGCUUCACCUGCUGUGUGACUUUUGGCAUGUUACAUAAUCUUUCUGAUCCUCAGUUUCCUCAGUGCAAAAUGAUAAUGACACUCUACUGUGCCGGUGUGAAGAUUAGGUGAGUUAGUAACCACAGGUUCCUAGAAUAUGGUGGGCUCUCACGUAUUUAGAAAGAAGAGGCACAUCUUGAUAACAUGCUGAGAACUGAGGCAACUGAUGUCUUUAGGCUCUUAUAGUCCCAGCAUGUUUUUAAGAGCUACUGAAUUUGAAGAGACCAUAUCAGUUUCAUCUGCUCAAAUUAGAUGAAUUUGCAGUUCAUAUCCCAAGGUUUGUUGUUCUUGUUUUUUAUAGGACGUGCAAUCCCUGGUAUAAAAUAAGUUGAAAUCCAGUUGACUCAUCAUUCUAUGAAGGUGUUCUGAGCACCAUGCUGGUCAUUCCACAGAUUGGCAAAUGUGGCUUCUGUGAACUCAUCUCCCCUGGAACUUAGCAGCACAAGCGAUAUUUCUUUUCUGAUUUGUGCAUGCAAUCUUUCCCCUACUUUUCACGGUUGCACUUCUUUGUUUACAGAAGAGAUUCUGGUCAUUUCCACCCCUGCCACUCCACUCUCCCAGCCUCUCUCAUUGGUUCACAGAGUAUCUAGAAGGCCUCAAAAUAAAAUCAUCUCUAGAGUAAAACAUAAAUACCAUCCUAACCUGUUCUGCAGGAGGUCAGGGGCCUUCUUGUUAGAGAGCAGUGUUGCAACCUGGAGAACAUUCUAGACAUCAGGGUCUGGAAAGAGCCUGAGGUUCUUCUUCUGGCUACAAAACCUCUUUCUGGGUGAUUCAUCUCCCCAAAAGUUUUGGUGAGCACCUUCUCUGGGUCUCUGAUUCUACCUUUGAAAAAUGGCUAUUGGUCUGGAUAACCAUUUAGGUCCUCCAACUUUUUUUUAUAAUUUGAAAUUCCUAAAAGGUCUUAAAUUAUUAGGGUGUCUACUUGCAGGCCUUCGGGCAGAUGGGCCAAGAGCUCAGGCCAGACCUCUGUGUAGUAGUGGACAUGAAGCCUUGACUAGCCACGAAAAAAUAUACCACAGAGAGCAAACCCUAUGAGGGGCAGGCAUCUUCUCAUGUCUUACUCCUCAGUGCCUGGAGAAGUGCUGGUGCAUGGUAGAUGCUCAAGAAAAUGCUUACUGAGUAAACGAACAUGUGAUUGCCUCUGGACAAUACUGUUAAAACUAAAUACUUGCCAGGUGUGGUGGCUCACACCUGUGAUAGUUCUUUGGGAGGCCGAGGUGGGAGGAUAGCUUGAGCCCAGGAGUUCAAGCAAAAUAGUGAGACCCUGUCUCUACAAAAAUAAAAAAUAAAAAAAUUAGCCAGGCAUGGUAGUGCAUGCUUAUAGUCCUGGCUACUCAGGAGGCUGAGGUGGGAGGAUCGCUUGAACCCAGGAGUCUGAGGUUCCAUUGAACUAUGAUCGUGUCACUGCACUUCAGCCUGGGUGACAGAAUGAGACCCCAUUCUCUAAAUAAAUAAAUAACUACUUUCACCAGACACGAAAGAGUAUAUACUGUGUGAUUCCAUUUAUAUAAAGUUAAAAAGUGGAAAAACAAAUCCGUGGUGCUGGAGGUUUCUGGGGUGCUAGAAAUGGUUCUAUAUUUUGAUUGGGAUGGUGGAUCCAUCACCAGGCUAUACAUGUGGGAUCUGUGCAUGUUGCCAUAUGUAAGUUAUAAAUUAGUAUAAAGUAAAUUAAAUAAAUUACUCCAAGUAUAAAAUGUAAACAGUGUGGGGCCGGGCGCGGUGGCUCAUGCCUGUAAUCCCAGCACUUUGGGAG
rnacentral:lncRNA from 1 species